rnacentral:ncRNA from 1 species
AGAGUAGAAGGCUGUGCGUUAAGUGUCCGAGGGACGGGGAGUUGCUUUCGGAACGAAAAGACAUUUCUUGCGAUACAGCAUUCGCAUCCCGCU